UGAGGAACAUGACUUUCGGUGGGGGAGUAGCCGGCCCAACGGCCGGGUAAUACCGCGUACGACCUCUUGGGGACAUCCCCGAGUGGUGAAAGCAGCAAUGCGCCGAAAGAGUGCCUCGCGGCCUAUCAGCUAGUUGGUGGGGGUAAUGGCUCACCAAGGCGACGACGGGUAGCUGGUCUGAGAGGAUGGCCAGCCACAUUGGGACUGAGACACGGCCCAGACUCCUACGGAGGCAG
rnacentral:rRNA from 1 species